AAGGAUCAUUAGUAUAAGAAAGAAUUUCCCAAUUCUUUUUUUGAACCCCAUUGCGUACCGGUAACCGUUGCUUCCGCGGUUUUAGCGGGCUGUAACAGUCCGUGCCGCUGCACCUUCUCAGGUGCGGCCGCCGCGGAAGGUUUAUGAAAACAACCCCUUCUGUUAUUGUUUGACAUUGUCCGAGUGUGAAUGGAAGUGAAUUAAAAGCUUAAAAACUUUCAACAACGGAUCUCUUGGUUCUC
rnacentral:misc_RNA from 1 species